GACGAACGCUGGCGGCGUGCUUAACACAUGCAAGUCGAACGGAGUGGCGAACGGGUGAGUAACACGUUGGUGAUCUGCCUUGCACUUCGGGAUAAGCUUGGGAAACUGGGUCUACUACCGGAUAGUGCAAGAUGAGCUGGCGGCCCAUCAGCUUGUUGGUGGGGUAAUGGCCUACCAAGGCGUCGACGGGUUGCCGGCCUGAGAGGGUGUACGGCCACAUAGGGACUGAGAUACGGCCCAGAACCCUACGGGAGGUAGCAGUGUGGAAUAUUGCACAAUGGGAGGAAGACUGAUGCAGCGACGCCGCGUGGGGGGGGAAGGCCGUCGGGUUGUAAACUCCUUUCGACAGGGACGCGGUACCUGUAUAAGAAGCACCGGCUAACUACGUGCCAGCAGCCGCGGUAAUAC
rnacentral:rRNA from 1 species